GACGAGCCGAGCGAACGUUAUUCGGAAUCACUGGGCUUAAAGGGUGCGUAGGCGGGCUGUCAAGUCUGGGGUGAAAUCCGGCAGCUUAACUGUCGAACUGCCUUAGAUACUGAUGGCCUCGAGGAAGGUAGGGGCAUGCGGAACUGUAGGUGGAGCGGUGAAAUGCGUUGAUAUCUACAGGAACUCCGGUGGCGAAAGCGGCGUGCUGGACCUUUUCUGACGCUGAGGCACGAAAGCUAGGGGAGCAAACAGG
rnacentral:rRNA from 1 species